rnacentral:rRNA from 1 species
AAAACUUACCAGGUCAAGACAUGGGCGUGAUUGACAGGCUAAUGACUUUUCUCGAUUCCAUGGAUGGUGGUGCAUGGUCGCACUUAGUUGGUGCAGUGAUUUGUCAGGUUUAUUCCGGUAACGAACGAGACCUCGGCCUUGUAAAUAGCUAUGCUGCUUACAGGGACAUUGGCGGCUACGCCAAGGAAGCUCGAGGCAAUUGCAGAUCUGGAAUGCCCUUAGGUGUCCUGGGUCGCACGCGUGCUACAAUGACGCCACGAACGAGCUUGCGUGAUGAAAGUUACGCAUAAUCAGCAGUCGGCGUCUUAAGGGAUAGUCUCUUGUAACUGUGGGACUCCAACUAGGAAUGUCUCGUAAGCACAAGUCAACAUCUUGUGUUGAUUACGUCCCUGCUCUUUGUACACACCGCCCGUCGCUCCUACCGAUCGAGUGUUUAGGUGAAUUUGAUGGACGUAAGGAAGUCAAAUAAACCUGAGCACUAGAGAAGAGAAGUCGAGAUC